AUUGAACGCUGGCGGCAGGCCUAACACAUGCAAGUCGAGCGGCAGCGGGAAAGUAGCUUGCUACUUUUGCCGGCGAGCGGCGGACGGGUGAGUAAUGCCUGGGAAAUUGCCCAGUCGAGGGGGAUAACAGUUGGAAACGACUGCUAAUACCGCAUACGCCCUACGGGGGAAAGCAGGGGACCUUCGGGCCUUGCGCGAUUGGAUAUGCCCAGGUGGGAUAAGCUAGUUGGUGAGGUAAUGGCUCACCAAGGCGACGAUACCUAGCUGGUCUGAGAGGAUGAUCAGCCACACUGGAACUGAGACACGGUCCAGACUCCUACGGGAGGCAGCAGUGGGGAAUAUUGCACAAUGGGGGAAACCCUGAUGCAGCCAUGCCGCGUGUGUGAAGAAGGCCUUCGGGUUGUAAAGCACUUUCAGCGAGGAGGAAAGGUUGAUGCCUAAUACGUAUCAACUGUGACGUUACUCGCAGAAGAAGCACCGGCUAACUCCGUGCCAGCCGCCGCCGUAA
rnacentral:rRNA from 1 species